rnacentral:rRNA from 1 species
ACUGAGCGGCGGACGGGUGAGUAACGCGUGGGUAACCUGCCUCAUACAGGGGGAUAACAGUUGGAAACGGCUGCUAAUACCGCAUAAGCGCACAGUACCGCAUGGUGCGGGGGUAAAAACUCCGGUGGUAUGAGAUGGACCCGCGUCUGAUUAGGUAGUUGGUGGGGUAACGGCCUACCAAGCCGACGAUCAGUAGCCGACCUGAGAGGGUGACCGGCCACAUUGGGACUGAGACACGGUCCAA